rnacentral:lncRNA from 10 species
AGAAGGGAAUUCUGGCAGAACCACUUCUGGACCUGUCCCUCUGCACCCCCCAUUCCUGCGCCCUCAUUUAACCUCCCUGACUCUGACCUGGGCUUGGUCUAUCUUGGGGCCUGGCUGCCGUCCUGGGACGGGAAGGGGAGCAGAUCAGAACUCAGCCUGCGGCUCCAGGCCGCUGGGCGCUGGCUGGGCCUCACGUUCUCCUGGAAGGACCACCUCCCUUGCCCUCCACGGGGUCUGCCUUUGCUCCCAAGGCUCCGCCCUGGACGGAGCGUCCUUCUUGCCUGGGCGUCUUCAGACCUUCAUCUGUGACACCGGGGGCCAUGUGGCUCACCCCGAGGAAGGUGAGUGAGGGGACCUGGUGCACAGGGUAGUCGACCGGUUGCUGAGUAGUGAGGAGUCCUGGCAGGAAGCAGCCCUGAGUCCCUGAGCGGCAGAGCUAAGGAGCCAAAGCCAGCACCCCCAGAGCUGCUGUCCGCAAGUGACCUGAGAGCAGUGGCACUAGGAGGGCCACACCUCCCGCCUGCUGCCCCCUGCUCUAAGCUACCUCCCGUCAAAAUGCCUUCCUUCCAGGUGUCUCCAUGAGGACACCACGGGGCGGUUGGCAAGUUCUUUCAUCCUGGAGUCAGCACAUGUGAUUGAUGGUGACUCCCAGAAAGCAGUGAUCAAUUGGCCACAUCUGUCAGAGCUGGGAUGGGAGGGGGCAUGCCGAGGGCCGCAGCCAUGUAGUGCCAGCCCCCUGAAGGAGAAAUCAAUCUCACUUCCGUUCUGUGGGGUUCACGCUGAGACGUGAAAGGCUGUUAGCCCCUGGACUCCUUGGGACUGCUGUGCAAUAGGCCAUGGAGUCCAUUCCAUUAUUUAAAAAUGGCAAGCCUAGGCCGAGGUGGGUGGAUCCCUUGAGGCCAGGAGUUUGAGACCAGCCUGGGCAACGUAGUGAGACUCCGUCUCUACAAAGACAAACAAAAAUUAUUCAGGCAUAGUGGUGCACACCUGCAGUCUCAGUUUACUGGGGAGGCUGAGGAGACAGGAUCCCUUGAACCCAGGAAUUCAAGACUAACCUGGGCAAUAUAGAGAGACAGCCUGUCUUUUUAUUUUAUUUAUUUAUUUAUUUUGAGACAGAGUCUCGCUCUGUCGCCCAGGCUGCAGUGCAGUGGCAUGAUUCCGGGUCACUGCAACCUCCGCCCCCCAAGUUCAAGCGAUUCUCAUGCCUCAGCCUCCCAAGUAGCUGUGAUUAUGGGCUCACGCCACCAUGCCUGGCUAAUUUUUGCAUUUUUAGUAGAGACGGGGUUUCACCAUGUUGGCCAGGCUGGAGAGAGACCCUCAUCUCUACAAAAAUAAUAAUAGUAAUUUAAAAAUCAGCAGGGCGUGGCGACAUGCACCUGUAGUCUGGGCUACUUGGGAGGCUGAGGCGGCAGGGUCCUUUCAGCCCAGGAGUUGCAGGCUGCAGUAAGCUGUGAUCGUACCAGUGCACUCCAGCCUGGGCGACAGACCAAGGCCCCUUCUUUGAAACAUAAAUACAGGAAAAAUUUGAAAAUGGCAAACCUGAGCCCUCUUGGUUUGAGGUGACAGAGGAGGAGGUGGACAGCAGGCUGCCUUGACCUGGAGUGGGCUGCUCCCCAUCCCUAUGCAGGGUCACACAAGCACGUGCUUGCUCUGGGCAGCAGCUGCCUCGGCUCAGGGUAGCCUGACUUCACUGUUGC